rnacentral:tRNA from 1 species
GCAUUGGUGAUCCAGCGGUAGAACCCUCGCCUUCCAUGUGGGAGACCCGGAUUCGGUUCCUGGCCAAUGCC